rnacentral:tRNA from 1 species
GAGGCCGUAGUAUAGCGGGAAUUAUGACUGGCUUCCACCCAGUAGAUGAGAGUUCAAUUCUCUCCGGUCUCUCCA